rnacentral:lncRNA from 10 species
UGUGUGUGUGUGUGUGUGUGUGUAGCUCAAAACAAAGAGGAAAUAUUUCCCACUCUCCCAUUCGACUCUUGAGUUUCAUGACUAUUUUGUUUAUAACUGUUUGCUGCCUCCCACCUUAAUUGAUUUCUCUUACAUUCUUUGUACUCCAUGCUAUUUCCUUGUAGGUGUACACCAGUCCUUGCCAUGAAUCUCUUUUACUUACAUUUAAAUUAGACACGUCUCUUUCAUGGUCACCAUCUCUCAGCCAUUCUUCUUAUGGCCCAUUUUUCAGUCACAGUAUUACUGCAAGUAUGUGUGUACAUUGAGAAGUAAUUUUCUGGAUUUAGAUGGCAAUGUGUUUAUACAUGAAUCAGAUAAUAAUGGAGACAUUUUAUAUAAGGUGUUAGUGAGAAGUAGUUCUACUUUUCCUUUUUUACAGUGUGGUCCUGGUAGCAAACACUAUUAGUUGCUUUCAACUAUUGUAACCCAGUAUUGUUUACAUGUGGAUACUUGGGGAUAACAAUUAUUAUGGCACUUUAACAGUGCACUUUAAUAUAUACCACCUUGAUAUACAUCUUUACUGUCUUUAUAAUUUUUAAGUUGGUUGUACUUAUUCAAUGAAAAAGCAAAAAAUACACAUAAAUUUGUAAUUCAAAGAAAUAGAAUUUUGUGUCUAACCAUUUAACAGUUCUCCCUUAGUAUUUUAGAAAGAUUUUAAGCCAUUUUAGAAAUGUGUUGUCAUUAGUUAAGUCCUCUUAAAUAGAUUAUUAUUAUUUUCCUAUAGAAAAUGCAGAGGCCUGAGGUGAACGCAAGGGUCAUAGGCAUCCAUUAAGAUACAUAACUAUAUAGAUAUCUUAAAACUCUGUCACAUUGUUUCCUUAAUCCCUUAGACCUAUUUCCUCCCAUGAAAACUAUCAUAAGCUAUGCUUUUGUUAUGGUCUAUAGAAUUUUCAAAGGACAAAUUUUUUUUUUUUAGGAUAAAGAUCUUGUGAUUGUCCGUGGGCUCACAUGGUUUCUUUUGUUCAAUUUUUUCAAAAGAUUUCUUUUUCAAUACUGUUGUCCCACCAUGAUAGUUGACAUGGCAUGUAAUUACAGACAGAAGUGUGACUGUAAACAUAUUAGUGUUUCUGUUAGUGUUGGCAUAAGCUUGCCUUUUUGUUUAAACAAUGGAACAUGAUUUAAUUUUAUCUCAUUUGCCUUUUGUUUAUCUUCAGUCCUUGAUUUAUUAACAUUUUGCCAAUUGAAAACACAAUAAAAAAUGCCUUGCAGGAAGGUUUGAUUCUGGGGGAUCCUGAUGAGCAUAUUUAUCAUGAGUUUAAAUAUGUUAAUCUUGACAUUUUUACCAGUUAUCUCAUUAUAGUGUUACGUAAUUGAAAGCCUUGAAUAGUAAAAGUGAAACUUGUUGAAAUACGAGGAUCAUCUUUCUCUGUGGAUUAAAUGCUUCAUAUUCUCAUCCAAGAAAAAUAAGAUAAGGCAUUAGUAUAACAGGGUAUUUUUGACUGUUCCUUGAUUCCACAUAAAGCAAUGAUUAACUCCCUGAUGGGAAUAUUCAUAAUCCCUUGGUAAUUAUUGGUAUCAAACAGAUCCACUUGAUAACUUCAUGAUGAUAUAAACUAAACUAAAUGCAACUCACUCAAAAUAUGUGACAAUUGAAAUGUAAGGCCGAACUGAAAUUUAUGUAUAUAUAUAAAAA